rnacentral:rRNA from 1 species
GAUGAACGCUGGCGGCGUGCCUAAUACAUGCAAGUCGAGCGAACAGACGAGGCGCUUGCUCCUCUGACGUUUGCGGCGGACGGGUGAGUAACAUGUGGAUAACCUACCUAUAAGACUGGGAUAACUUCGGGAAACCGGAGCUAAUACCGGAUAAUAUAUUGAACCGCAUGGUUCAAUAGUGAAAGACGGUUUUGCUGUCACUUAUAGAUGGAUCCUCGCCGCAUUAGCUAGUUGGUAAGGUAACGGCUUACCAAGGCAACGAUGCGUAGCCGACCUGAGAGGGUGAUCGGCCACACUGGAACUGAGACACGGUCCAGACUCCUGCGGGAGGCAGCAGUAGGGAAUCUUCCGCAGUGGGCGAAAGCUUGGCGGAACAACGCCGCGUGAGUGGUGGAGGUCUUCGGAGCGUGAAACUCUGUUAUUAGGGGAAAACAAAUGUGUAAUUAACUAUGCACGUCUUGACGGUACCUAAUCAGGAAGCCACGGCUAACUACGUG